rnacentral:tRNA from 2 species
GUCCUUGUCGAUUAGUGGUUAGAUCAUCUCGUUGUGGCCGAGAAGACGGAAGUUCGAAUCCUCCCUGGGACA